AUUGAACGCUGGCGGCAGGCCUAACACAUGCAAGUCGAGCGAGCGGCGGACGGGUGAGUAAUGUCUGGGAAACUGCCUGAUGGAGGGGGAUAACUACUGGAAACGGUAGCUAAUACCGCAUACCAUCAGAUGUGCCCAGAUGGGAUUAGCUAGUAGGUGGGGUAACGGCUCACCCAGGCGACGAUCCCUAGCUGGUCUGAGAGGAUGACCAGCCACACUGGAACUGAGACACGGUCCAGACACCUACGGGAGGAAGCAGUGGGGAAUAUGGCACAAUGGGCGCAAGCCUGAGGCAGCCAUGCCGCGUGUAUGAAGAAGGCCUUAGGGUUGUAAAGCACUUUCAGCGGGGAGGCGUUACCCGCAGAAGAAGCACCGGCUAACGCCGUGCCAGCAGCCGCGGUAAGAC
rnacentral:rRNA from 1 species